rnacentral:lncRNA from 1 species
GCUGGAGGGAAUGUGGAACUGAGAUCUGGCCCUUAGUAUAAUCUUCUCGUCUCUUUCUCUCUCCCUCUCCCUCUCUUUCUGUAUAGAUCUGGCACGGCCUUGCUCUCUCGACUCCCAGAUCUUUGUUUCGGUGGCGGCGGCCAGAAAGAGUAAGAGAGCGCUGUGCUCUCAUUUCCCUCUGUCCCCCCCCCCUUUAAAAGUCUCCUCUUCCAACUUUCCUCCAGUUAUUCCCUCCUCAACCCGACUGACAGCAUUUGCUGAAAAAUCUACAGCUUUGCUACCUGAAGCAAAUUCUAAUCAAGCAGAACAUACAAACUGGAAGAAGAAGCAACUCAUGGAGUUCUCUAGCAGCUCUUCUUCCCUACAAACGAUGUUGUGA